UAUAUGCGUGUGAAAAAAAACUUCCAUCGAUUGUGUUUGAACAAAUUGAUUUGUGAGAAUGUAUUACAAGCAUUCGGUUCAAUAAAGUGCCAACUGGAGCUUAUUGAUUAAAUUAUGAAAUUGGUUGGGGUCUUUUCGUUGGUUUUGGUUCUGGUGAUGGCUGUAGACGAAACACAUUCGCGAAUUUAUACUACGGCUUUAUCUUGUGAUGAAUGCUACAGACAAGGAGCUAAGUUAUGUUUAAUACAGAAUGAUGAUGAAGCUUAUUGCUCUGGCGUAAAGAACAUAACUGAUUGCCCAAGUUGCCAGUUGUAUGCAACACCUUACAAAUAUGUUUGCAUGAUCGAAUUUGGCAGCACAGACUACAGAUGUAAAAUUUUUAAUUAAAGAAUUUGCGAAUAAAACAUAUGCCCGA